ensembl:lncRNA
UAAAAAUUCAAAAGAAGUAACUAAUCAGAGAUUAUGCAAUUUCCAACACAGCCAUCGUGUCCAACAGCACUACUUUUCACUGUUUGUAUCACUGCGCUUGUCUAUUUUUGUGGGGGGCGGCGACAGUGUACUGCCUAAAAUGAAAUUACAUAAGCGGUUUCCAUAACUGCUCCAAAUUCAAAAAUGAAACUAAAAUUAAAUCAUCUUUGAGAGCAAGGAGGCCCCCUGGUGUUCACGCAAAAGGAUGAUAUCCGCUUCGUCAUGCCUGGAGCUGAUCUGUGCUGGUCGCUGAGGAAAUACAUCAACUUCGCACUGUGGAUCGACAAAUCGGCUUUCACUGUGGACGAAGUGGAGUCCAGCCCGGGGUCGUCACAUGUGGUUGCCGCAAGCACAAGCUUUGGCAGUUUGAAGCUCACUGGAUUUUCCCCAUCUAUGCUCAAUCAGGAGAGCAAAAACAGAACCACAGAGAUUUUGCAGUCUUGUAAGAAGGACGAAGUCUCUCUCUGAUGACCACGUGAGGACUGACUUGCAGCCACAUUUGACAAUGAGGGAGCAGGCAGAGAGUAAAAACCAGGAUGUGUGCGUCAUUGAUGACAUCUUCA